GUCUAACCAUCAUGAAAGAAGAAAAAUCUUGAGCAAAUAAACAUCCUGAAGAAGAAAAUAACCAAGUCUAAACAUCAUGCAGAGAAAAUAGCUAAUUGUCAGUAGUAGGGAGGGAGCAAUCUAAAUGCUUCAUCAAAGCAAUCAACAUCUCCUGCAUGAUGCUUGGUUAGCAUUUGUCCAUGUUCCGUCAGCCUGUUCAUAAUCUGAUCAAAGGUGGUAUGAAUCUGCAUAAAGAACAGAAGAAAGAACAUGAAUCUGAAUAUAUAUAUAUAUCACGUGAAUUCUUGUUUCUACUGCACUUAAUAUGUGCUGAUCUAACAUCCCCAUCAAUUAUUUUGCGUCAAGAAUCUUAGUCUUCCAUUAUUGGGUUUAUUCAAUUGUUAAUUACAGACAAAAAAGAUGAAGAGCAUGAAUUCAUCUUCAUGAAACUAAAAGAGAGAUGGGUUAGAUGACAAAGAAAAGAGAGAAAGAAAAUGUUGAUGUUGUCCCUUAUUAUUAGAAAGGAGGACGAAGACACGAAACUGAAAGAGAGAGGUAAAGAGAUUCGGGUUUUAAUUAGGUUUAAGUGAACCCGGUAAAGAAUCAUAUUUACGCUAAACAAUUAAACUUAAAAGAUCACGUGAAUUUCUAAAAAUAAGUGAAGUCCGUAGGAGAGCCUGUUAAGAAAUCUUAAAAACCCAUGCGAUCCAUGACACAAAGUUAAGAAAUUAAUUACCUGUUCAGGUGGUGGCAGUAUGACUUCAUGAGGUACAGGGAUACCGCCUGAACCGGGAACUACCUGCACGCACAAAGUAAAAAAACAAAACAUAGAUUACAGAGACCAAAAUUCUUAAGACUUCUUACACCAAGUCAGGAAAUUAAUUACCCCUUCAGCAGUAGGGUUACUAGGAUCGAGCAUAGCAAUCUUCAUGAAAAGAAAACAAAUAUUAUUGUCCCACAAACCCAGCAGAUUAAA
rnacentral:lncRNA from 1 species